rnacentral:rRNA from 1 species
CCGAUGGAGGGACGGAGAAGGCUAGGCCAGCUUGGCGUUGGUUGUCCAAGUUUAAGGUGGUAGGCUGGAAUCUUAGGUAAAUCCGGGAUUCUAAGGCCGAGAGCUGAUGACGAGUUAUCUUUUAGAUGACGAAGUGGUUGAUGCCAUGCUUCCAGGAAAAGCUUCUAAGCUUCAGGUAACUAGGAACCGUACCCCAAACCGACACAGGUGGUUGGGUAGAGAAUACCAAGGCGCUUGAGAGAACUCGGGUGAAGGAACUAGGCAAAAUGGCACCGUAACUUCGGGAGAAGGUGCGCCGGUGAGGGUGAAGUAUUUACUACGUAAGCCCAUGCCGGUCGAAGAUACCAGGCCGCUGCGACUGUUUAUUAAAAACACAGCACUCUGCAAACACGAAAGUGGACGUAUAGGGUGUGACGCCUCCCCGGUGCCGGAAGGUUAAUUGAUGGGGUUAGCUAACGCGAAGCUCUUGAUCGAAGCCCCGGUAAACGGCGGCCGUAACAAUAACGGUCCUAAGGUAGCGAAAUUCCUUGUCGGGUAAGUUCCGACCUGCACGAAUGGCGUAACGAUGGCGGCGCUGUCUCCACCCGAGACUCAGUGAAAUUGAAAUCGCUGUGAAGAUGCAGUGUAUCCGCGGCUAGACGGAAAGACCCCGUGAACCUUUACUAUAGCUUUGCACUGGACUUUGAAUUUGCUUGUGUAGGAUAGGUGGGAGGCUUUGAAGCGUGAACGCCAGUUUGCGUGGAGCCAAUCUUGAAAUACCACCCUGGCAACUUUGAGGUUCUAACUCUGGUCCGUUAUCCGGAUCGAGGACAGUGUAUGGUGGGUAGUUUGACUGGGGCGGUCUCUUCCUAAAGAGUAACGGAGGAGUACGAAGGUGCGCUCAGACCGGUCGGAAAUCGGUCGUAGAGUAUAAAGGCAAAAGCGCGCUUGACUGCGAGACAGACACGUCGAGCAGGUACGAAAGUAGGUCUUAGUGAUCCGGUGGUUCUGUAUGGAAGGGCCAUCGCUCAACGGAUAAAAGGUACUCCGGGGAUAACAGGCUGAUACCGCCCAAGAGUUCAUAUCGACGGCGGUGUUUGGCACCUCGAUGUCGGCUCAUCACAUCCUGGGGCUGAAGCCGGUCCCAAGGGUAUGGCUGUUCGCCAUUUAAAGUGGUACGCGAGCUGGGUUUAGAACGUCGUGAGACAGUUCGGUCCCUAUCUGCCGUGGACGUUUGAGAUUUGAGAGGGGCUGCUCCUAGUACGAGAGGACCGGAGUGGACGAACCUCUGGUGUUCCGGUUGUCACGCCAGUGGCAUUGCCGGGUAGCUAUGUUCGGGAAAGAUAACCGCUGAAAGCAUCUAAGCGGGAAACUUGCCUCAAGAUGAGAUCUCACUGGAACCUUGAGUUCCCUAAAGGGCCGUCGAAGACUACGACGUUGAUAGGUU